rnacentral:rRNA from 1 species
AAAUAGAACUUUGCAGAGAGAGUUAACAGGGCGUGAAACCGUUAAUUGGCAAACGAAUCGGAGCCACGAAGUCGUUUCGCUGGUCAAUCCAAGUUCAGUUUGGGAUAGCAAUAUCUCGGGCGUAUUCUUGUUGGUUGGCCAUUGUAAGCGUACACUGCAACCAGUUAGACAAUUGGCGAUGGGCCAAGUUGGGUAGGAGCCUCGGCGACUGCUUAACGAAGUGCUUGUUUGCUCUAACUAGUAGUGGCAUUGUGGUUCUUCGGAAUUAUGGUGUUGCUGGGUUAGAGUGAGUGAACUAUCACCAAAUACUGACUGGCACAAUGAAACUUGCUCUUAUGAGCGUGAUACACAAUGCGGCUGCUCGUAUCUAGUGUCUACACAGUCAACCGUAGGGUUUAAGUUCGGCAUUUUUGAAUUUGGGCUUGCUUUCUACCAGUGGGGCAACUCCUGGUGUUAGUAUUGUCACCAUCUAAUCGGGUGUCGACUUGAUUUUGCGUCGUUUGGCUGUGCUACGAUCGGAUGUUAGAUCGAAGUAGUUUGCAAUUGAUUGGCAGUGAGUAGGUCGGCUUUCCGAACGACCCGUCUUGAAACACGGACCAAGGAGUCUAAUUAGGUAUCGAGUCGAUCGGUCUUGAAUAGGCCAGAAAAGGGAGUUCGUCUCUCUAACUGAAGGCAAAGAGAAAUCAAAUCAUGUGAUCUUUGGGACAAUACCAGUUCCAAGGCGCAACAUGUGCCUGUUCGUAUAGCAAUGUUAGUAAUAACUUGCUGAGCGGAGCAAAGAGAUACCUGAUUGGUACC